UGAGUUCUCAAAGUUAUCAAUCUUCAUUUCUUUUCAGUGUUUUAUGCAUUACUUUGAUUUUGAUUUCAGGAAUUGCUACUAGUUUGGAUACUCCCGCACAACUAGAUUGUCCUUACGGAAGAAACGGACCACCAGAUGCUUGCUGCAUAGAUGUUUGUAAUUCAAAUUGCGGUACAGAAUGUCUUAGAAAGGGAUUUCAGAAAGGUGGACAAUGUUGGUUUCCACAUGGACAAGAUAAUUGUUGUUGUUUUAUUUAGUGAAUUAUGAUGUAUCAUCACCAUUGAUAAAAAUAAAAAUAGAAAAGGAAUUUUACCUUAUCUUUAAAA